AACGAACGCUGGCGGCAGGCCUAACACAUGCAAGUCGAACGCCGUAGCAAUACGGUGUGGCAGACGGGCGAGUAACGCGUGGGAACCUUCCUUAUGGUUCGGAAUAGCUCAGGGAAACCUGGGGUAAUACCGGAUAAGCCCUUCGGGGGAAAGAUUUAUCGCCAUUGGAUGGGCCCGCGUAGGAUUAGCCAGUUGGUGAGGUAAAGGCUCACCAAGGCGACGAUCCUUAGCUGGUCUGAGAGGAUGAUCAGCCACACUGGGACUGAGACACGGCCCAGACUCCUACGGGAGGCAGCAGUGGGGAAUAUUGGACAAUGGGCGAAAGCCUGAUCCAGCCAUGCCGCGUGAGUGACGAAGGCCUUAGGGUUGUAAAGCUCUUUUGGCGGGGAAGAUAAUGACGGUACCCGCAGAAUAAGCUCCGGCUAACUUCGUGCCAGCCGCCGCCGUAACAC
rnacentral:rRNA from 1 species